rnacentral:rRNA from 1 species
CCAAGGAGUCUAACAUGUGCGCGAGUCAUUGGGUCUAUUAAAGCCUAAAGGCGCAAUGAAAGUGAAGGUCGUCCUUUGCGUCGACCGAGGGAGGAUGGCUAGCGUUACGAUGCGAGCCCGCACUCCCGGGGCGUCUCGUGCUCAUUGCGAGCAGAGGCGCACCCAGAGCGUACACGUUGGGACCCGAAAGAUGGUGAACUAUGCCUGGUCAGGACGAAGUCAGGGGAAACCCUGAUGGAGGUCCGUAGCGAUUCUGACGUGCAAAUCGAUCGUCGGAACUGGGUAUAGGGGCGAAAGACUAAUCGAACCAUC